rnacentral:rRNA from 1 species
UAGUGAGUUUGAUCCUGGCUCAGAACGAACGCUGGCGGCAUGCCUAACACAUGCAAGUCGAACGAGACCUUCGGGUCUAGUGGCGCACGGGUGCGUAACGCGUGGGAAUCUGCCCUUGGGUUCGGAAUAACAGUUAGAAAUGACUGCUAAUACCGGAUGAUGUCUUCGGACCAAAGAUUUAUCGCCCAAGGAUGAGCCCGCGUAGGAUUAGCUAGUUGGUAGGGUAAAGGCCUACCAAGGCGACGAUCCUUAGCUGGUCUGAGAGGACGAUCAGCCAC